AAAAACACACACAUCCAGGUGAAGAGAGGGUUCUACUGUCCAGUGCUGUAGAUCUAGCGACGAUAGCAUUGUGAGGACCCGCCCAAGACUUUCCUGACAACUCGCCGGGUGUAGCGUUUGAACAAGGCUUGAAGCUUGCUGGCCGCUUCCCAUCGCUUGGAGUUUUUCUUCUUUCUAAUUCGUUGUUGCUGUCUGGACUGGCCGCGCCUACGGUGUGAAGGGCUUUUCGUUGGUGGAGUGACAGGGCGGGGCAGUCUGUCGGCAGAUGGUGCAGGUGAAUCGGCCUUCAAGGUAAGCCUUUGCCAGUCAGCUGCGAGGCUAUCAGAAAUAUAAUUUAAUUCUUCCCUGGAAGAGAAGCUAAGAAUAAUUGUGGCCCAACGAUUAAAGAAUAGACCGCACUGGGAUAUUUCGCCUUCUUCCUGUUCCUCGACAUCAGACACGGAGGAAACUGGUGAAGCAAGAAUAUUCACUGCGAGUGGUUGGUCAAUGGAGAUAGAGCCCAACGAGUCGUUCUGCAGCGACCCAAUGUCUGAGGUAGACCGGCAUUCCCCCACCUGGAUUGCCAGAGGCGUUUGUCGUGGAUGACAUGACCAAGAGGAGGACGGAGAAGAGAGAUGUAGUAGCCGGGUGUAGUAGCCGGGGUGUAAUAGCCGGUUGUAGUAGCCGGGUGUAGAAGCCGGGUGUAGCAGCCGGGUUUGGAAGCCGUGUGUAGUAGCCAGGUGUAUUAGCUAGUUGAAGUAGCUGGCCGUAAAGACCGGGUGUAAGAGCCGGGUGUCAUAGUAGUUACGGAGAAAGGAAGAAAUUAGACGGAGUAGGGUUGAGCACGUUGAGAGGCUGACCACCCACCAUAGCGCGGACAAACCAGAGGCUUACCAACCACCAUAGGGCAGACAAACCAGAGGCGGAGUAGUUGGUUGAUAGGCUGACCACCCACCAAAGGGCGGACAAACCGGAAACUGCCCCAAGUCGGUGUAGUUGGAUUGGUGUAGUAGUUGAGAGCACACACCACAUGUGUAAAUGUUGGAAAUCCAUUCCAUCAAAAUCCAAUCCACAGAAAAAACUAUGCAUGUCCACGGUGGGGUUAGUGACCUACCAAGAUCAAUAGAAACUCCAGAUAAUUAUGACGAAUAUUAACUGAAUAUGAGAAGAGGUAUAAAAAAUGGUAUUAUUGGUUUUUACCUGUAUUAACUGGAUGAUGCAUUCAGCAGAACGUCGGUUAUGAAAGGG